rnacentral:rRNA from 1 species
GAUGAACGCUAGCGGCAGGCCUAAUACAUGCAAGUCGAACGGUGUCUUCGGACAUAGUGGCGCACGGGUGCGUAACACGUAUGCAACCUACCUUACAUUGGGGGAUAGCCUUUCGAAAGGGAGAUUAAUACCGCAUAAGACAGUAGCUGGGCAUCCAGCAGCUGUUAAAGAUUUAUCGAUGUAAGCUGGGCAUGCGUCCAAUUAGCUAGUUGGUGAGGUAACGGCUCACCAAGGCAAUGAUUGGUAGGGGAACUGAGAGGUCAAUCCCCCACACUGGCACUGAGAUACGGGCCAGACUCCUACGGGAGGAAGCAGUAGGGAAUACUGGGCAAUGGACGCAAGUCUGACCCAGCCAUGCCGCGUGCAGGAUGAAGGCGUUAUGCGUUGUAAACUGCUUUUAUACAGGAAGAAACGACUCUUGCGAGAGGCAUUGACGGUACUGUAUGAAUAAGCACCGGCUAACUCCGUGCCAGCCGCCGCGGUAACAC